AUAUAUUCUGUGGCAGAGUCCUGUAUCUAAGAGUGAAAAGUUAAAUCGUCGUUCAAAUGAGAGAACCUCCUCUGUGUUGAAAAAGGACAACGUCUCUGGCAACCAGAGUGAUGUAAAAUCUUCAAAGGUCGAAGAUGAUCACAACAAUACAUCAUCCAAACAUGUAAUCGCACGAGUUCAACAUUUUCUUGAGGUUGGUCGGGCACAAAAUGAUGGAAUAUCAAAGCAGAAAUCAGACAUAUCUGAAAAUUCAAGUGAAGCUACUACAGCAACAUCAACUAUAUCAUCAAAAGAUACAACAUUUACAGCUGUGACAACAUCAGUAACAACUGUGACAACAUCAGUAACAGCUGUGACAACAACCACAACAUCAACAGCUGCUUCUACUGUAACAACAACACCCCUACAACAUCAGUUUUCUGUGCCACAAAGUCCUAAAUCUGACUACAAGUCUGAUGAUUCUGAGUCUGAAAAGAAGUAUGAUGCUGCAACAAAAGAAGAACUUUUAUAGCUUGCAAGAAAACAAGAAAAAGCUUUAACCCGUUAUAAAACAAAGUUUUCUG